rnacentral:rRNA from 1 species
GACGUAGGGCGCGAGCGUUGUCCGGAUUUAUUGGGCGUAAAGAGCUCGUAGGCGGCUUGUCGCGUCGACUGUGAAAUCCCGAGGCUCAACUUCGGGCUUGCAGUCGAUACGGGCAGGCUAGAGUUCGGUAGGGGAGACUGGAAUUCCUGGUGUAGCGGUGAAAUGCGCAGAUAUCGGGAAGAACACCCGUGGCGAAGGCGGCUCUCUGGGACGGUACUGACGCUGAGACGCGAAAGCGUGGGGAGCGAACAGG